UACGGGGGGGGCAAGCGUUGUUCGGAAUUACUGGGCGUAAAGGGCUCGUAGGCGGCCAACUAAGUCAGACGUGAAAUCCCUCGGCUUAACCGGGGAACUGCGUCUGAUACUGGAUGGCUUGAGUUUGGGAGAGGGAUGCGGAAUUCCAGGUGUAGCGGUGAAAUGCGCAGAUAUCGGGAAGAACACCCGUGGCGAAGGCGGUUCUCUGGGACGGUACUGACGCUGAGACGCGAAAGCGUGGGGAGCGAACAGG
rnacentral:rRNA from 1 species